rnacentral:rRNA from 1 species
AUGUUAUGUCAUGCUUUGACAUCACUAAAGGAAUUUGUGAGAUCUCUUCCAUGGUAUGUUGGUUUUGGUGGAGUCAAUGGAGAAAAUAAAUUACAUUGGGUUGCUUGGGACAGAUUAUCUAAGCCGAAGAAGGAUGGAGGUUUAGGUUUUAGAGAUCUUUAUUUCUUUAAUAUUGCUAUGCUAGCAAGGCAAGCCUGGAGGAUCCUUCUAACUCCCGAGUCCCUUUGCGCUCAACUUCUCAAGGCGAGAUACUUUACUGUAUGA